UACAGAGGUCUCAAGCGUUGUUCGGAUUCAUUGGGCGUAAAAGGGUGCGUAGGCGGCGCGGUAAGUCGGGGUGUGAAAUCUCGGAGCUUAACUCCGAAACUGCAUUCGAUACUGCCGUGCUUGAGGACUGGAGAGGAGACUGGAAUUUACGGUGUAGCGGUGAAAUGCGUAGAUAUCGUAAGGAAGACCAGUGGCGAAGGCGGGUCUCUGGACAGUUCCUGACGCUGAGGCACGAAGGCCAGGGGAGCAAACGGG
rnacentral:rRNA from 1 species